CCUUCAGAUCUCAAUUUGCUUUGGAUAAGGUCCGAGAAAUGUAAUGGGCCGGUUCAAGGGCUAUUGGUGGGCCGGCCCAACUUAUAUUCCCCCGCACACAAUGCCUUCAUCAGUGCCACAAGCUCCUGCUCCCCUUUGUGGAUUGGCCUUGCGUCGAAGAUAUGAGAUUGAUGAGGGUGACGGAUCGAGAUCGGCUGUGGACACUUCGUCGCAAACCCUAGGCCAAGUUGAUUCAUGGUCUUUUGUGUUUUAUUCUUUCCUUCUUUGGCUGUCUACCUCCUUAGGAAAGUCGCGCUUUCUCAUUGCUGACCACUGACAUCCAUCUUCGUAUUCAAGAGAAGUUCCAGUUUCACAGCAAUCCAGCAUUUUUGGAGUCAAUACAUGCAUCAUUAAAAUUUGAUGUCAUUCACUGGCCAUUUUCAUUUUAUGGCAAGUAGACAGCUUCUUCAUGUGCAAGGAUGGUUUCCCACCUAUGCUAACUUUGAUACUUGCUUUUAUAUAGGUAAUUUCAUCUUGAACACAUCUGGCAUUUAGAUGAUGGAAAGAAUAAAGUUUCCUAUAUUGUUAGACCAUAGAGGAUCAAGAAGGUUUGUUUGUCCAUUUAUCAACAAAUAAGAUUAUAUCUCAUGAUGCAUUUUACUAGAAAUCAGCUUCCUUUCACUGUUUACAAAAUGAUUCUUUUGGUGAGAUAUAUUUUUCUUGACAGUUGAUUUGUCAAGAAAAUAUGGAACUAUACAAGAAACUAAACUUGAGGCCCAUUUGAUUCUAUUUCACUCAUGUGCAUUUGCACACUAUGUACUUACAAACUUUGCACAAGGAUUUCUCCUUUAAUUGUUAGGUUUAUGAAACAAGGGAAGGGGAUGACAUCGAUAUAGGCUUCAGUUUUAGUGUCACCGAAGAAGCAUAUAUGUGCAUUCUCCUCCAACUAAGCCAACCACAAAUUGAUGGAACACAAAUGGAUGAAAUUAUUGCUAACAAAGAGGAUGAUGUUUCACACCUUUGAUGAGGUAGGCAAACUUCAGGUUCGCCAUAGAUGAGAUUAUGAUUUUCUGAAUGGUCCAAAUACAGAACCCCAAAAAUGGUUGACAUACUUCAUGAUUUAACUAUGAAACAUAAGGAAUCUGUUGUCUCUAGGAGAAUAUGAGCAAAGAAACAAAAUAGUUAUAAUUGACUUAUUGUUCAUUCUAGUAAACAGUGGCAAUCCUUAGUAUAAGUUAGCAAUACCUCAAAACACCAACAAUACAAUCUCAUCAAAAUUUGUUAAAAAAAAAUUGUCCAAUGUUUGAUAAAUAGGCUUACAAAAUUCUAUCAUAUUGUUGUUCUUGGUCCAUUCCAAUUUCCAUGAGCAUGCUUUUUCUUUAGAUUAAAAUAAAGUGUACAUAUAAAUACAUAGGUUAAAUAACACUAUUUUAUAGGCUGUUGUUUGUUUAGUCAAGGAUUGCUCCUCAGUCAGUCACCCUACAGUCCAAGGUUUCACACUCAUGAAGACCGAUUACUCUGAGCCUCUUUGGAAAUCAAAAAAAGAAUCCCUUUUAAGUUUUAUGCCACCUUGCAUGGUGAAAGGAUUAAUUUUUAACACAUUAAGCAUGUGCCUCCUGCUAGGACCAUGAGUCUUCCAAACCUGAUUAAAUCAAAGAAUGAGAACCAGUAGGCAAUUCGAUCAAAAUGCCAAUGAAUUGAUCGAUUCAGUCUGAAAGACGGGAAAGAUAAGGACUAGACUUAAUCCACCAACCAUGGUAGACAUUGCACACCAACAUGAGGCAUAUUUGGUUUUAUUAGAAGGUGGCAUUAAUUAACCAGUAGCAGUCAAACUUUUGGUAGGUGGAAUUUCUGGAUUUUAGUGUCCCAAAUGGACAAGAUCUACUUAACUAACUCAUUCUUCUUUCCCAUUGAUUAAUCCCACCAAGAAAUUGAUUUUCACAGGCAGUUGAUACCAAUUUUUUUCUUCACUAUUGGAUCUUCUAAAUGUUUCUUUAUCUCAAUCUUCUUCUUACUUGAUAGUGUAAUGUCACUACACCAAGAACACCUUGCAUAUUGAAUAUCUGAUCCUAAAUUGUCAUUUAGAAUAGCUUAACAUUCAAAUGAUCUCUAAGAUUGGAUGAUAUCGUGAAUGAAUUAAAGGACCCUCUUUGGAUUUAAAGCUAUUAAUUGUCUCUUUGAUAUUAGAUAGCCCAACUAUUCCAAUGGAAAUCUUCUUUGUAUGUCAUAUGAAUUGUAUACUUUAAUGAGUUCUUUAUGUUUUCUAGAUAUUUAAAAAGGUAAAUAUGAGAUCAACACAGUUUCUUUAAUUCAGAUAAUCUUCUUUUACAUAUAAUAUAUAUCUCUAUGCUACCAAAGACUUGCAUUUACCAUGCACAUUAUCCUUCACUGUGAGGAUUAAAAAACUGGAGGUAAGAUUCCUCCUCGUGUUUUUGCUUAUAACUAGUCAAAAAAUUGCUCCUUUAUUUUCCUCCAGUCAUCAUCAUGCAGCUCAUGCUUUCACACUCUUGAUGACUCGUUGACUCAUGGUUGGUGAAAGUUCAAAGAGAAAACAAGAAUGAGAACCAAACUUCACAAUUUACUGAUCACAGCACCAAACAUAUAUUCAGACUGGAGUUGAACAAGGGCCACCUCCCUUUGGUUGUCUGGGCAGGCAUGGAGCUUGGCAUCAUACACAGGUAACAUCAAACGGAAUCAGUUUCAAAGUUAGGACUACAAAAUUCAAUUUUUCCUUGGGGCCACGUUAUAUGCUGCAUUUUAUUAAAAGGAGAUUAUGGUUGUCAUAUUGUGAGGAGUCAAAGUUUGGGUAGGUGGCAUCCAUGAUUGGCUGUAUGUCUCCCUAAUCGACUAGUUAACUAACUUAGUCAUCUAUCCCGUUAAUCUCGGGCUUCAAUUUGUCGUGCCCGACUAGGAAUUAUUAAAUUGAAUUCAACUAGAAGUAGAUUCCAGUUUUUGUUCAUAUUCUUUGAUCUAGGCUCUUUAUUUUAUUGGCACAACUGUGACCAACUGUUACUGAGGAGCAUCAUAAUACCAACUUAGUUUUGAUAGUGCACACCAGGAUUGUGGUGAUUGAGGGCAAAAUUGUAUCAUUGUGGAGCCUGAGAACAUCUACUCGUAGUUCAAGCUGAUUGGUUAGAUCAAGAUCGAUAUGUUAUGCUAUCGACAUUUAUCAGUCAGAAGAGAUAGUUGCAGAUAGGACUAACAUGCUUGAUUGGCAGACGAAGCUUAUAGAGCAGGGGCCUUUUCUUUCCUGCGAAAGAGAUCUCUCUUUUCCUUUUUUUUGAUGUCAUCCAAGUUAGGUAUGUGUUUGAAUGAAUGUCAAUAUGUCAUGGAGAACAUUUUGUCAAAUUAAGAUGUCGAUACAUAAUCAAAUUUGGACUACUUCUCCGUGACAUGUGUAUCUUUAGGAGGCCAAUGUGUGUGAAUCUAAGCAUGCUUUGAUCGA